rnacentral:tRNA from 1 species
GGUAUAGAGUUGGGUGAUGAUAAAGGCAGGAACUUUUUGAAAGACGCUGAAACAUCAAAUUGUCAGCUUCCCAAGCUGAAGGUCGCGGGUUCGAAUCCCGUUUCCCGCUCCA